UUUAUCGUCAUCAUCCUCCUGGUCACCUUCACACGUCAGGGAGUGGACCAGACAGAGCACAGCAUGGAGAUGAAGCUGAGGAACCUGAGUCUAGGGAUGCACUCCAGAGUAGAGGGACUGCACAAGCAUGAUUGCUUGAUGAUGGAGAAACUGAAAGCCAUGGAAGCCUU